rnacentral:rRNA from 1 species
UACAGAGGUGCCGAGCGUUAGGCGGAAUCACUGGGCUUAAAGCGUGUGUAGGCGGUUGGGUAAGUACCUUGUGAAAUCCCACGGCUCAACCGUGGAACUGCUCGGUAUACUGCUCGUCUUGAGCCAACUAGGGGCGACCGGAACAAACGGUGGAGCGGUGAAAUGCGUAGAUAUCGUUUGGAACGCCGAUGGUGAAAACAGGUCGCUGGGGUUGUGCUGACGCUGAGACACGAAAGCCAGGGGAGCGAACGGG